GAUGAACGCUGGCGGCGUGCCUAAUACAUGCAAGUCGAGCGAACGGACGCGAAGCUUGCUUGUCUGAUGUUAGCGGAGGACGGGAGAGUAACGCGUGGAUAACCUACCUAUAAGACUGGGAUAAUCUCGGGAAACGGGAGAUAAUACCGGAUAAUAUUUUGAACCGCAUGGUUCAAAGGAGAAAGACGGUGUUGCUGUCACUUCUAGCUGGAUACGCGCUGCAUUAGCUAGUUGGUAAGGUAACGGGUUACCAAGGGAACUAUGCAUAGCCGACCUGAGGGGCGGAUCGCCCACAUUGGAGCUUGGACACGGUCCUGACGCCUACGGGACGCAGCAGUAGGGAAUGUGCCGCAAUGGGCGAAAGCCUUACGGAGCAACGCCGCGUCAGUGAUGAAGGUCUUCGGAUCGUAAAACUCUGUUAUUAGUUAAGAACAUAUGUGUAAGUAACUGUGCACAUCUUGACGGUACCUAAUCAGAAAGCCACGGCUAACUACGUG
rnacentral:rRNA from 1 species